rnacentral:rRNA from 1 species
CCUGAUGCAGCGACGCCGCGUGGGGGAUGACGGCCUUCGGGUUGUAAACCUCUUUCAGCACAGACGAAGCGCAAGUGACGGUAUGUGCAGAAGAAGCACCGGCCAACUACGUGCCAGCAGCCGCGGUAAUACGUAGGGUGCGAGCGUUGUCCGGAAUUACUGGGCGUAAAGAGCUCGUAGGUGGUUUGUCGCGUUGUUCGUGAAAACUCACAACUCAAUUGUGGGCGUGCGGGCGAUACGGGCAGACUGGAGUACUGCAGGGGAGACUGGAAUUCCUGGUGUAGCGGUGGAAUGCGCAGAUAUCAGGAGGAACACCGGUGGCGAAGGCGGGUCUCUGGGCAGUAACUGACGCUGAGGAGCGAAAGCGUGGGGAGCGAACAGGAUUAGAUACCCUGGUAGUCCACGCCGUAAACGGUGGGUACUAGGUGUGGGUUUCCUUCCUUGGGAUCCGUGCCGUAGCUAACGCAUUAAGUACCCCGCCUGGGGAGUACGGCCGCAAGGCUAAAACUCAAAGAAAUUGACGGGGGCCCGCACAAGCGGCGGAGCAUGUGGAUUAAUUCGAUGCAACGCGAAGAACCUUACCUGGGUUUGACAUGCACAGGACGUGCCUAGAGAUAGGUAUUCCCUUGUGG